GACGAACGCUGGCGGCGUGGAUUAGGCAUGCAAGUCGAACGGUAGGAUACCUUCGGGUAUCUGAGAGUGGCGAACGGGUGAGUAACACGUAGGUGAUCUACCCUCAAGAUUGGGACAACCCAGGGAAACUUGGGCUAAUACCGGAUGAAAGCAGCAGUGAUGUUGUUUGAAAGGUGGCGUAAGCUGCCGUUUGGGGAUGAGCCUGCGCUCUAUUAGUUAGUUGGCGGGGUAAAGCCCACCAAGGCGAUGAUAGAUAGGCGGCCUUAACGGGUGUCGCCCACACUGGGAUUGGAGAUACGGCCCAGACUCCUACGGGAGCAGCAGUCGAGAAUAGUCUACAAUGGUCGGAAGACUGAUAGUGCGACGCCGCGUGAACGAUGAAUCCCUUCGGGGUUAAAGUUCUUUUAAUGUGAGCAGUGCUUCUUAUAUUAACAGUAUGGGGAAGAGAUAUUAGCAUAUGAAUAAGCAACGGCUAACUCCGUGCCAGC
rnacentral:rRNA from 1 species